GGGUGGUAAUGCCGGAUGCUCCAUCACACCGCAUGGUGUGUUGGGAAAGCCUUUGCGGCAUGGGAUGGGGUCGCGUCCUAUCAGCUUGAUGGCGGGGUAACGGCCCACCAUGGCUUCGACGGGUAGCCGGCCUGAGAGGGCGACCGGCCACAUUGGGACUGAGAUACGGCCCAGACUCCUACGGGAGGCAGCAGUGGGGAAUAUUGCACAAUGGGCGCAAGCCUGAUGCAGCGACGCCGCGUGAGGGAUGGAGGCCUUCGGGUUGUAAACCUCUUUUGUUAGGGAGCAAGGCACUUUGUGUUGAGUGUACCUUUCGAAUAAGCACCGGCUAACUACGUGCCAGCAGCCGCGGUAAUACGUAGGGUGCAAGCGUUAUCCGGAAUUAUUGGGCGUAAAGGGCUCGUAGGCGGUUCGUCGCGUCCGGUGUGAAAGUCCAUCGCUUAACGGUGGAUCCGCGCCGGGUACGGGCGGGCUUGAGUGCGGUAGGGGAGACUGGAAUUCCCGGUGUAACGGUGGAAUGUGUAGAUAUC
rnacentral:rRNA from 1 species